rnacentral:rRNA from 1 species
UGGGGAAUAUUGGACAAUGGGCGCAAGCCUGAUCCAGCCAUGCCGCGUGUGUGAAGAAGGCCUUCGGGUUGUAAAGCACUUUCAGUAGGGAGGAAGCGUUGUGUGUUAAUAGUACACAGCGUUGACGUUACCUACAGAAGAAGCACCGGCUAACUCUGUGCCAGCAGCCGCGGUAAUACAGAGGGUGCAAGCGUUAAUCGGAAUUACUGGGCGUAAAGCGCACGUAGGCGGUUUUUUAAGUCAGAUGUGAAAGCCCCGGGCUCAACCUGGGAAUUGCAUUUGAAACUGGAAAACUAGAGUGUGUGAGAGGGGGGUAGAAUUCCAAGUGUAGCGGUGAAAUGCGUAGAGAUUUGGAGGAAUACCAGUGGCGAAGGCGGCCCCCUGGCACAACACUGACGCUCAGGUGCGAAAGCGUGGGGAGCAAACAGGAUUAGAUACCCUGGUAGUCCACGCCGUAAACGAUGUCUACUAGCUGUUCGUGACCUUGUGUCGUGAGUAGCGCAGCUAACGCAUUAAGUAGACCGCCUGGGGAGUACGGUCGCAAGAUUA